CCUACGGGGGGCUGCAGUGGGGAAUAUUGCACAAUGGGGGAAACCCUGAUGCAGCAACGCCGCGUGAGCGAUGAAGGCCUUCGGGUCGUAAAGCACUGUCCUAAGGGAAGAAUACUGACGGUACCUUAGGAGGAAGCCCCGGCUAACUACGUGCCAGCAGCCGCGGUAAUCUGUAGGGGGCUAGCGUUAUACGGAAUUACUGGGCGUAAAGGGUGCGUAGGCGGCGCUUCAAGUCAGAGGUGUAAGACUACGGCUCAACCGUAGUAAGGCUUUGAAACUGUAGGGCUUGAGUGGAGGAGAGGAUGCUGGUAUUCCCCGUGUUGCGGUGAAUUGCGUAGAUAUUGGGAGGAACCCCAGUUGCGAAAACGGCUCUCUGGACUGUAACAGAAGCUGAGGCACGAAAGCGUGGGGAGCGAACAGGAUUAGAUACCCCAGUACUC
rnacentral:rRNA from 1 species